rnacentral:lncRNA from 1 species
UUUCUAAAUGAUUGUCUAUGACUUUUGUUACAAAGACAAGAAUCACAAACUUUAUUUGUAGGGGAAUCCGUUGAAGGAAUUUUAUUGCUAGCUAAAAUCUUCUUUUGAAUUGGAGGAGAAGAAUGACUAAGACGUUGGUGCCAUAGUUGAGAAGAGAGAGCAAUUGAAGCAGAAGGAGUGAGGAAGGAUGGCUUCGUGGUUGAGGCUGAGGAUGACCACUCAUACAAGUUGUUUUUACUCCGGCCUUUCGCGAAGGAUUCCCCUCAUGCAAGUCCUUCACAAGAAAAUAGUUAGGAAAAAACUCAAUUGAAGUAUUAUUUUGUUUACAGAAUUGCGAAACAGAUAUUAAGUUCCUUUUUAUUGAAGGUGCACAUAAAACAUUAUCUAAUGUAAAUGAGGCAUUAGGUAAAUCAAUUGAGGAAGAACCAACAUUAGAGAUGGAAAGGCUAUUACCAUUACCCACUAUAACAUCCUCAUUUCCAACAUAAUCAAAGUGCAUAGAGACGUUUUGGAGAUCAGAUGUAAUGUGAUGUGUGGCUCCCCAUUCCAGAACCUAAUUGUUGCUGGAAAAACUUGGUUCUCCUUCGGCAAGAUUUGC